rnacentral:rRNA from 1 species
AGUCGAGCGAGAUCUUCGGAUCUAGCGGCGGACGGGUGAGUAACGCGUGGGGAUGUGCCCUUUGCUACGGAAUAGUCCCGGGAAACUGGGUUUAAUACCGUAUGAGCCCUUCGGGGGAAAGAUUUAUCGGCAAAGGAUCAACCCGCGUUGGAUUAGGUAGUUGGUGGGGUAAUGGCCUACCAAGCCGACGAUCCAUAGCUGGUUUGAGAGGAUGAUCAGCCACACUGGGACUGAGACACGGCCCAGACUCCUACGGGAGGCAGCAGUGGGGAAUCUUAGACAAUGGGGGAAACCCUGAUCUAGCCAUGCCGCGUGAACGAUGAAGGCCUUAGGGUUGUAAAGUUCUUUCAGCUGGGAAGAUAAUGACGGUACCAGCAGAAGAAGCCCCGGCUAACUCCGUGCCAGCAGCCGCGGUAA